rnacentral:rRNA from 1 species
AACGUAGGAGACAAUCAUUAUCCGGAGUUACUGGGCGUAAAGGGCGUGUAGGUGGUUGCGUAAGUCUGGCGUGAAAUUUUUCGGCUUAACCGGGAAAGGUCGUCGGAUACUGCGUAGCUAGAGGACGGUAGAGGCGUGUGGAAUUCCGGGUGUAGUGGUGAAAUGCGUAGAGAUCCGGAGGAACACCAGUGGCGAAGGCGACACGCUGGGCCGUACCUGACACUGAUGCGCGACAGCAUGGGGAGCAAACAGG